UACAGAGGUCUCAAGCGUUGUUCGGAUUCAUUGGGCGUAAAGGGUGCGUAGGUGGUGGGGUAAGUCGGAUGUGAAAUCCCGGGGCUCAACCCCGGAACUGCAUUCGAAACUGCCUUGCUCGAGUACUGGAGAGGAGACUGGAAUUUACGGUGUAGCAGUGAAAUGCGUAGAUAUCGUAAGGAAGACCAGUGGCGAAGGCGAGUCUCUGGACAGUUACUGACACUGAGGCACGAAGGCUAGGGGAGCAAACGGG
rnacentral:rRNA from 1 species